UUCUCAUCUUCCUAAAGCAUCCACCACAAACUAUAUGUGGAGAUUGAUCGACUUAUUUUUUCUCCUAUUUUUUAUGUAUGUAAUACGGAUGUCAGUUUGAUACAUGACACUAUGAAGAUUUUUGAGGGCUUACAAAGCUGUGUCACAAAAGAAGCUUCACCAAUUUCUAUCAAAGAAGAAAUUAAACUGCAUAAUCAAGGUGCAAAAGGCAUCUCCUUUAGGUAUGGACACUAUUAUUGGGGCUUCCACUUUUGAGCUAAUUAUAAUUAAGGUAUUUGAUGACAACAUUGCAAAGGGUCGAACAAGUUUUGACUUUUGAUCAUUGGAGAGGCAGAAUUAGUUCUUGAGGUCAGGUAAGUUUUGUUAGUUUGCUCAUCUCAAUUUCAAUAAUCUUUCAACUGUUUAUAUUUACAAAUCAAGACCUGAUAGCAUACAAAGAGUAAUCUUCAACUCUUACGUUGCAAUCAAGCGCGGAUCCACCUUGAAAAGUGGGGGACACGUGCCCUGUAACUUCGGAAAAAACUCUAUAUACAUAUAUUUAUAUACCUUGAAAGACUAUCAUAUAUUUUAAAAGGAAAAAGGACCCUUCAAACAUAAUUGUUAAAGUAGUUCAAUUGGUAGGAGUACUCUUGCGUUGAUGCUCACUGGUCGUGACCUAAGUUCGAAUCUUGGUUCCUACAAUUAUUUUAUUUAUUUAAAUUUGUGCAGUAAAUUGCUAUACAAACCUGCAUUUAAUGCAGAUUUUUUAGUUUUUUUAAUCUUUUUAUUAUUAGUCCCCCUGUCAUUUGCUUUUUCAUUAAAUACUUCCCCCCAAAAGCCCUAAAUUUCAAAAGAUCUUUUCCCACUUCCCACUUCCCACUCAUCUGUUCCCAACGUCAUAUAAGCAAACAAAACUCCUUUGGCUCUCUCCAUUCUCAAACCCUUCUUCCAUUAUCAAGUUUUGUCACAAAUCACUAAGUUAGGAACAUCACCCAUAGUCGAAUAUAUUAUCGAUAUUCAUUAAUUUCUCCGGCAAUCGAAUUCAAGCCAACGAUCGGACUUCUCUUACGGUAAAGCUUUCCUUUCUUUUUUAGUAAUUAAUAUAGAUUACUUAUUAUAUAAGUAUAUAAUAGUAUUUAAUUACUACGGAUUGAGGAAUACAUAACUUCUUAGAUUUAAUUUAAUUAAAAAUUGUAUUAUCUUAUACUAAGCCCUAAAAUCUUAUCAUAUUUUUAAAUUUGGGAUUUUGUACAAUCAACUUAAGGUCUUGAAAAGUCAUGUUUAUUUUUACUUUUCAAAUGAAAACGCGUCGAAUUCAAGAAUGAUUUGAUGAUGUACUUUUGUUAUAUUAGUACCCAAUUAAUUAUAUUUGAUAAUAUUGAAGUUUGUACUUUGCUAUUAUAAUCAAUAAGUUUUUUAAGAAUCGCACGCCUAACUUUAUUGCUAGCAAUUAGCGUACUAAAGAUAAUGGUGCUUCCAUUGCGCUCAAAUCCUAGAUCUGCCUCUGGUUGCAAUAUGACUCUGACCGAAUAUUUUGACCGUAAACUACAUAUGACAUGCUAAUUAAAGUUUUUUUUUUUUUUUAAUCUUUAGAUGCUAUCUUGGUUCUAAUUAUUUUGACUUUUGAGGAUACUUUUACGACGGAUUAAACUAAUUCAACUAAUAGUCAAUUUAGUUUCAAAGUUUAUUUUAAUUUGACAUAUGUUUACUUAUUAUAUUUUUCCAUUUAUCUAUAUCAUAUCAAUACUAUCAAAGAAACAUAAAUUCUAAUACAAAAAUGUUGAUUGAUUAUGUCGAGAAAAUAUUGUACUCAGAGUUCCUGCGUAUUUCUUUUUUAUUUACGUCGAGAAUUGUUAGAGAUUCUUUUUUAUUUUAGUUAGAAACUAUCGAAAAGUUUACAUUCUUAUGUUCCUAAUCAUGUACUAAUAAAAAUCAUAUUUGUGUUUAAAAGGCAUAUCUUAAAAGAAUUUAAAGUUCGAUGAAGAAGAAACGAGAAUUGAUCAAGAAUAAUUACAGGAAUUCUUAUGUUAGAAAUUACUCUCCUAUUCCUAAUCAUACAGUUCCUUAUACACUUAUUUGAGGCUGAUCGAAAGGUAUAAAUAUCCCUUAACCGUGGUUGUGUGGUUCUAUGAUGGUCAAAUGAUGAAUAUAAGUGUUGAUUUAUCCUUCAAAUAUUGAACGAUUUUUAUACUUUAAAAACUUAAUUAUCACUUAAAAUAAACAAUAUUAUAUCGGAUAAAAUCCUAGUUUCUAUUUAAUUGGAAGUCUAAUUGUACUUAAUCUCUGAGUUCCAAGAAAAUUAGGAUAUUCCAGCCAUGGGUUUUGCUUAUGCGAAACAACCGUCCUCGAACGUUAUAUUUAGGAACACAAACAAUUUGAUUCGACCACCAUAUUUUUAAACGAGUUGGAGACUAAACUUAAUUAUCACUUAAAAUAAACAAUAUUAUAUCGGAUAAAAUCCUAAUUUCUAUUUAAUUGGAAGUCUAAUUGUACUUAAUCUCUCAGUUCCAAGAAAAUUAGGAUAUUCCAGCCAUGGGUUUUGCUUAUGCGAAACAACCGUCCUCGAACGUUAUAUUUAGGAACACAAACAAUUUGAUUCGACCACCAUAUUUUUAAACGAGUUGGAGACUAUCUAAUAAAUAUAUAAUUAUUAGUACUUUCUCCCCUUUCUCAUAUAUUAUAAUUAAAAAUAUUCUGUUAUAAGUGAAGACAUUGUAGUCUUCUUUAGGUAGGCCUUGGGAACGAUACAAUGCAUGUCAUCAUUUAUUUUAAAGUUGAGGGUACAACUAUUAGGGAACGAUACAAAAUGAGGUCGUAGCAUGAGAUUUUAUAUUUAUGAGUUGUUUGGUAAAGUGGGAUUGGAAAACUAUGAGUUCUCACCUAUGAUGAUUGAAACAUUUUGUCCCUAUAAUUCGCGUGAUUUAUUUAUGGAUGAACAUGCCUACCGCGUAUAUUUUUUUUAUCCGAAUAUAUUUGACUACUUCUUCGGCAAACAAAUUAUCAUUAUUCUUUUAAUUUCGUGUAAUAACAAUUUUCGGUUUAAUGAAAAUAAAUAGAAUAUACUCAAUUCCUAAUGUAGGGUUAUUUUAGUCAUUACAUGUUUUUCCACAUAGCUAAAAACAUAGAGGAUAUAUACCAAAAAUAAUACGAUCAAACACUAUUUGUACCUUAUAAAAUAAAUACCGUAAUAUGUAAGUUCAAAUAAUAAAUAACAUCAGAGAUUGAUAAGAGAUAACGUGGCGAGGAACGUUCAUAUAAACUAGUUAUAUUAAAAGCAUGAAUAUAAAUGUUGAUUGAUCAAAAUAUCCUUCAAAUACUGAAUGACUUUUGUACCCUUUAUUAUUUUACUUUGAAUAGGAAUAUACAAGGAAAGGGCACAAUUAGAAUUGUGCAUAUUAGGAUAUGCAAUUGUAGUAGACUAGGAAUGAGAUAAUAACGGAUACGCGGAAAUAAUAAAAUGGCAACGAAAAGAAAAGAUAGAUGGAUUGACUAAAAAAUAGGCACAAUUAGGCAACCAAUGUUUUUCAAUAACUAAGACAUCCUAAUUACACUCUAGAUAGCACCAACUUCUUAGGAUGACCUCAAGGGAAUUGAAUUCCCAAGCAACCAAUCCUUUCACAAACAAUAAUCAACAAGAGCCUACCAAAGGCCUCUCACAAGUUUCUCUCUCUAGAGAUAACCCUAAAACACUCAAAAUAUUUUUAAAAAUUAUCAAAAGCUACUAAAUGAAAUGUUUGAGCUACUAUUUAUACUAAGCCAACAAAGAAGACAAUUACAUUAUUACAUAAAUGUCCUUAAUGAGACAAGGGCCUUGUUUGGCUAGCCCUGUGGAGAUGAAAGUCUUGAAUUUAGGAAGUGACCUCUUUUGCAAUCAUAACCUUCCUUUAUUCAUUUAGCCACUUUGAUGUUCUUCCAUUGCCAAUCCGUUCUCCCAUGCUAUCAUUCACACUUAGAAUCCUCGGGACGGUUCUCUACAUGUCCUUGAGGCAACUCGGCUUGCAUCAAGGAAACUAAUUACUCCUUUCUAGCAAGGGGGUAUGCUAAAUAGCAAAAAAUCAACUCCUUUACUUAAGCAACCCGUUUUCUUAACAUUGGUAGGACGGAGUUACAUAAUACAACUAUUCAAUUACCAAAACAGGUAGUGUAUUAAUCAAUAAUUAAACACAGUUUUGAUACAUACAUUCAUAAAGUCGCAUAAAUCUACUAUGAUUGUGCCGCUUUAUAUGACAUAUGAGUAGUUUGAUUGGAAACAUGGAUUAAGAAAUAAAUUUAAAUUGCAUAUGGUAAUAGAAGAAAAAUAUUAAACUUGGACUUCACUGUUGAAAACUUUAUUUAACGGGAAAGAAUCCUUCAUGGUAAGAACUCUGAAUUACUUGAAUGUAACUUUGUAUAGUAAUAUUAAUUAUUUUAGAAAUACAUAUAAUUUUCUGAGACAUUUUAAAAUAAAAUAUGUCAUAUGGAUUGAAAUGAGGAGACUUUUAUUUCUGGCUUGGUUACUUCAAAAUAAUUAGAAAUGGAGAGGAUGAAGGAAACAGGUUAAAAACGGAUUAGUGGGUUUGGAUUUAAAAGUGUGUUGCUUUAAUUUUUAAAUUAAAUAAUAUAUGUGGUCAAUCAUAAUAAGUUACGUGACUCUUUUUAAAUAGGAAAAAAUUAUCAUGUUUAGGGUGUUAGUCUAAGGGGUAUUCUUGAGCAAAAGAAUAAAUAGCUUAGGGGAAUUUUGGACCAAUAGGUGGAUGAAGGGUAUUUGUGAGCCAUUUUUCAUACGUUAUGGGUAUUUUGUCCCUUCAAUUAGUUAUAAAUAUACUUUAUAGAUGGUGUAAGUGUAGGAUUUCUAUGUUAUAUUGAUAUACAUGUUUGAUUUUAAAAUACAUGAGGUAUAUCUAAAAUUAAUUCAUAUCAUAGGAAUUUUUAUUUUCUUGCGUAUGCCUUCGCCAUGAAGCAAUAACCUGUCGCUUUGAUUUUAAUAUCGCGUGUUUUUUCUUUCCAAUUCCAGCUAUAGUAUAUGCUUCAAUCCUGGUUUAUAUAUAAUGAGAUGGUUUGCAUUCUGCUCUCUCUUCCUUACUGAUGUGUUAUAUGGUUGUUCCCCCAAUAAUUCCUUUUCAUCUCUUUAUGGUUAUGGUCACUCUCUCAAAUAAGUCUUUGUUGCCUUCAUCUUGAUACUCAAUGUGUAUACACUUGUUCUAUCCAGCAUAUUGAGUCCUGUUAUAUCAAUAUUCUCAAUUCGAAUUUCCACAUGUUGUUUCUCUCUGUGGUACUCAGGAUCUUACUUUAACAAGGCCUGAUAUUGCAUAUGCAUGCUAUCAAUAUAGCUAGUAUUCAUUGUGAAUCCUCCAAAAAUGCAUUGCUAUUGGAGGAUCCGACACAAACUCGGCGGUAUUUUUGAAGACCCGAGCAAUAUAGUUGUUAACCUGACUUGAUGCCUAUCAUUUUAUUGAUUGAUUGAUGUAUACCAUUAUCUUGUAGUAAGUUGUAUAUAUCUAUAUACUUACCUAUCCCUUUCUAUAAGGGGAAGAUAAUUACUACAUAGAACAGAGGAGGAAUGUCUCUACUUGACAAAUAUGUUCUGCUUUCUACCCUUUUUCCUUUUUGGCUCUCACAGAAUACAUGGAGAACAAAACAAGGAGCGGAAAAUUACAACCUUGUUACUCUUUGAAGGUAUGUCCUUACUAUCUGUACUCAUUCUUUAGUUUCUUGUAUUAUAUCAAAUCAACCAUCUAUACUAGUGUACUUAAAAUUAAAAUUAGCUGGGAGGGGAUGCUAAAACUAAAAUGAAACCAAACCUUGGAAUAAAACUGUUGCUAUAUAUUUUUAUUGCACAUCGACAAAUAAACAUGUGAUUUCCAAUGAAUAUUAGAAGAACCUACACUUAGUAAUCAAAAAGUUGAAAAGAACCACACUUUGUCGAGUAGUAACCCCUACACUAAUUUUGUAACCACUUCUUACUCGUCGUUCUUCAGUUGGUUAGAUUUCACUUACCUUCUUUGGAAAUUGAAUGCCUUGAUAGCAAAAGCAAAU